AUCUACCAUCAUAGCUUUGUUUUAUUUUAUCUAUCACAAUAAUAAAUAAACAAAUCCACCAAAUACAAACAUAGUUGAUGAAAAGAAAAAAACAAAGCAACUAAGAAAUUGGCACUUGUAGAAACUAAAACGCACUUCGACAACUUCAAACACCAAACCAAACACUUCGCAACACUACAAUGUCUUUUCCUUCACUUCCUCCUUAAAAAACCACGCGCGAUUACGUAUAUACCCACGCGCCACCGUUUCUAAGUUUGGUUUAAUAUGGGUUGCGCGGCGUCGAAGCUAGAAAACGAAGACACUGUACGGCGGUGUAAAGACCGUCGCCGUCUCAUGAAAGAAGCCGUUUACGCGCGUCACCAUCUCGCAGCUGCACACUCUGACUACUGUCGUUCACUUCGCCUCACCGGCUCUGCUCUCUCUACAUUCGCCGCCGGUGAGCCUCUCUCUGUCUCCGACAACACCCCCGCCGUAUUCAUCAACCGGCUCUGCUCUCUCUACAUUCGCCGCCGGUGAGCCUCUCUCUGUCUCCGACAACACCCCCGCCGUAUUCAUCAACCAUAAAACAACCACCCCCAUCCCCACCACCGCCACGAAAACGUUCCAACAUCCACCAAAACCACAACCACCGUCGUCACACAUUCCAUCUCCUUCACCGUCUUCCUUCCACCGUCCACCGCCGGGGCAACCGUUUCAACCUUCACCUUCUCCCACCAUAACCUCCUCAAAACUCCCUCAUAUCCUCUCUUCAUCCACUCCCUCCACAAAUCAACACCACAACGCUCGCCGCCGUAAACCACCGCCGCCGAAACUCCCUCACAUUCUCUCCGAUUCAAGCCCUUCUUCUACCCCUCGAAGCAACUUCUCCAACAAUUUCGCUCCCGGUUUCUUCCCUACAGCACACUCUACAUACUCUUCCACCCCUUCUCAAACUUCCUCCGUUUGGAAUUGGGAAAAUUUCUAUCCUCCUCCUCCACCGCCACCGGGCUCCGAUUACUUCGACAGAGAGCAUGAACAUGAACAUGACCAAGAAGAUACUACUUCUCAAUUCUCUUUCAUUUCACGAAAUAGUGAAAUUCCUUAUUCCCGACAACAACAGCAACAACAACAACAAAAACAACAACCUCAACAACCACAAAUACAAACAUAUCAACCACAACAGCAACAACAGCAACAUCGAUAUCCUAAUCCAACAGCACAUGAAGUGGAAGGCUUUGAUUC
rnacentral:lncRNA from 1 species